rnacentral:rRNA from 1 species
GUCCUAAUGGUAUAGUUUUUUAUUAGGUUUAACNCUGCUCAAUGCAUUGGUUUAGAAUUAAAUAGCCGCAGUAUUUUGACUGUGCGAAGGUAGCAUAAUCAUUUGUCUUUUAAUUAAGGGCUAGUAUGAAUGGUUGGAUGAGAGGAUAACUUUCUUUAUAUUAUAUAAUGAAUUUAAUUUCUUAGUUAAAAAGCUUAGAUGUUUUAAAGGGACGAGAAGACCCUAUAGAAUUUAAAUUGCAUAAAAGAUAAUUUUUAUUUUAGGUAUUAUUUAUUUUAUAUAUUAUGUAAUUUUUGUUGGGGUGAUAGUGGGAAUUAAAAAACUCCCAUAUUAAAAAUAUUAAUAAUUUUUAUAUUUAAGAUCCUUUAUUAAGGAGAAAUAGAUUAAAUUACCUUAGGGAUAACAGCGUAAUUUUUCUGGAGAGUUCAUAUCGAUAGAAGAGUUUGCGACCUCGAUGUUGGAUUAAAUUGAGAUUUAAGUGCAGAAGCUUAAAUU